CAGAGUAUCAAGCUCCGUAACCCACUGUGAACUUAUCUAAGUUUAUUGUUUCUUUGGCAGGCGGUCCCUGGGAGGGACCUCCGGCCGGCAACGGUGCCUGCCAGAGGGACGCAAAAUUCUGUUAUUUCAGUUGUCUGAGCUUCUAUAAAUAAGUCA
rnacentral:misc_RNA from 1 species